rnacentral:rRNA from 1 species
CCAAUAGCGUAUAUUAAAGUUGUUGCAGUUAAAAAGCUCGUAGUUGAAUUUCGGAAUUUUUUUAUCGGUUGAACCAACAGGUUCGUACUGAUUUUAAGAAUUUCUACCUUCUGGAGAACCUUAAUGUCAUUUAUUUGAUGUUUUGGGAAACCAGGACUGUUACCUUGAAAAAAUUAGAGUGUUUAAAGCAGGCUUAUGUCUGAAUAUAUUAGCAUGGAAUAAUGAAAUAGGACGGCAUGGUUCUAUUUUGUUGGUUUCUAGGAUCACCGUAAUGAUUAAUAGGGAUAGUUGGGGGCAUUAGUAUUCAAUUGUCAGAGGUGAAAUUCUUGGAUUUAUUGAAGACUAACUUCUGCGAAAGCAUUUGCCAAGGAUGUUUUCAUUAAUCAAGAACGAAAGUUAGGGGAUCGAAGACGAUCAGAUACCGUCGUAGUCUUAACCAUAAACUAUGCCGACUAGGAAUCGGACGAAGUUAAUUUUUUAAUGACUCGUUCGGCGCCUUACG